rnacentral:lncRNA from 1 species
AUUUAUUUAGUCGUCACAUUAUCGACUUGAACCCUAAUUAGAGUUUACACAUAAUUCUGGCCCACAUACUCAAAAAUACCACAUUAUAUCAAAUAAAGCCCGUAAGGUGUAAAAUGGCCCAAAUUGAUUACUUCACAUAAUUGGCCUAAUCAUAAAUAUCAUUAUAAGUCAUACAUCUAACCCGUAAAAUUAAUAAUCAAAUGUAAAGCCCAUAUUAGAAUAUUCCAAUAUUUUGAACCUCAUUUUAAUCGGAAUCGGGAGCCACAUUUGCAACAUCGUGCUCAUUUUCUGGAGGUCCUUCGAGAGCUGUGGAUACUGUUGCAGAUAUACCUUCAAACUACACUUGAGCUCCUGCUGCUUCAGAUCUUGACCAUUCAGUGGUUGCAUGCCUUCUCCGGCAUCUGGACAUUCUACACCACUGUUUCCAACUGGGACAACUUUUCAACCAACAGACCCAAUAAUAGGUGCAUCUUUUGUUUCGGCACCGGCUCUGCAUUUCAUCCUACAGUAGCUUUCAAUGGGGAUGCAUUGGUGUUUUCAGUUAUUCUAAGUGGCCUAGAAAGGCUUUGGGACCUAAUUGGUUCAGAGAGGAAAUAAUUAAGAAUAAAGCUUCCAAAUCGAGUUCUGUCCCAGAGUUCCCUAAAAGAUGAUGCCCAAUCCAUGGAAGAAGAAAGUGGUGAUAAAUCUUCUAGGAGGGGACAUUUGUAAGGGAGAGGAAUCAUCAACCACCAAGGCGAUAUACAAGCUCAGUUCACCAAGAAAUCGAAUCAAUACCAAAGCAAACGACCCAAGAACACCACAAAGGUUUCGCCUAUGGUUGCUAAGCUUUUUGCCACUUCAAGAACACCACAAAGGAGGGAAAUAUCACCAAGAUAUAUGCCUUAAAAAGAAUCACAGAAGAUGGAAGUGGUGAAGGUCGAGAGAGGUCACGCAGGGAGAAGAAAGAGACACCAAGUCUUAUUUCUUACAUAGUGGCGUGAAGAGUAGAGAGAAUAUAUUGGACCAAGUCUCAAAUUAUCGUAAGUUAGGUUUUAGGUAAUGGGUCAAGGUCCAAUAACAUGUAAGUGGACAACAGUGUGGACCUCAAAAACUAGCUAGCCAUCCAAAUAGGUAAAAACAUGGCUUAUGAGCAACACAACUUAAUUGGUUGCUUCAAAUGGUCAAAUCUCUUCUUGGGUCGGGUCGUUAUAAUUUGGUAUUGAUUUAUUGCUUAGUCAUAUCGCAAUCGUUGACUGAUAAUUAAUAAAUGGUUUACAUCAUCGCCCGAGAGGUCAUUUGACAACAAUAUGUCCAACAACCUCCACUUUGAUGUCAAAAGACCUGCAAAAAAGAAAGUUUCCUAUUAGUAACACCUCUAACGAAAAACCAAUAAAAUUGGAAAUCAUUUACCUGUACCAAUGUUUAGAAGUUCCUUGCAACUUCUAAACUUUGCCAGUUGCAGUACCUUCAUGCCCAUAUCGGAAGGGUUGUAGUGUGUGUGGACCUUUUCAAGUAUUACAUCCUCUUGAGAUACUAUAUCUCUAAUGAAGUGGAGUCUAACAUCAAUGUGUUUAGUGCGCUCGUGUAAAAUGGGGUUCUUGCACAAAUGUAUAGAUGACUAACUAUCAGAAUACACUACCACAUAAUCAUUCAAGACAUAUAGUUCAUGGAGUAGGCCUCUAAGCCAUAGAGCUUCUUUAAUAGCUUCAGUGGUGUCAAUAUAUUAUGAUUCUGUAGUGGAUAGUGCAACAAUGUGUUGUAAUUGUAAUUUCCAACUAACACAUGAAUUAGAUAAGGUAAACACGUAAGACGAAGUCGAUUUCCUACCAUCUCUAUCUUUCGCAUAAUCAGCAUCUAUAAAAGCCUUCAAUUUUACUCCUUCUUUAUUAGCACUAAACUAUAAACCUACGUCACUUGUACCUUUCAAGUACCUUAAUAGCCAUUUUAACGCUUCCCAAUGUUCAGGGUCCGGAUUAACCAUGUACCUACUGAGAGUACUAACCGCAAAAUCGAAAUCCGGUCUAGUGUAAACCAUCAAAUACAUUAUGGAACCAAUCACAUUAGAGUAAGGCACUCUACUCAUAUAUUCUACUUCACGCUCAUUGCAAGGGGAUUGUUCUUUCGAUAAAAUAAAAUGAUUAGCAAGAGGCAACGUGACAAGUUUGCAAUCACUCAUAUUAAAUUUCUUCAAUACUUUAGAUAUGUAUGGAGACUGAUGCAAGAACAAAAUGGAAUUUGACCUAUCUCUUUCUAUUUCCAUGCCUAGGAUUCUCUUAGCCUUACCUAGGUCUUUCAUGUCAAAUUCACCACUUAAUUUUGCUUUUAUAUUAUUUAUCCACUUAGAGGAAGAACCAAUCAAGAGCAUGUCGUCCACAUAGAGCAACAAAAAUAGAUAAUUAUCAUCAGUCUCAUUGUGUUGAAUAUACAAGCAGUGAUCAAAUUUACUUCUUUCAAACCCUAUAGUGAGUACAAAGGAAUCAAACCUCUUGUACCACUGUCUAGGAGAUUGUUUUAACCCAUAUAAGGAUCUUCUCAGAAAACACACAUAAUCAGGCUUUGACUUAUCCUUAAAACCUUUUGGUUGAUUCAUGAAGAUUUGUUCGUCAAGCUCACCAUGUAAACAAGCAAUUUUUACAUCAAGUUGUUCAAGUUCCCAGUCAAAAUGUGUAACCAAGGCAAGCAUAACCCUAAUAGUGGUGUACUUAACAACUACUAUGAUCCAGAAGUGUUUCAGACCAGACGCAUGACCCGAUCGAUGUCCAUGUACUACCACCCGAAAAUUUACCCUCGGGAAUACCCUUGAGUACCUUUCAUUAGUUUUUGUUCGUGUCUUGUUUAUUAUGAUUGCAUUUUAUCUUCAAAUAUUUGUUGCAAUUUACAUUUGCUGGAGGUUAGGUCAAUGCCCCCCUCCUAUAUUUGUUUUCUCGCUUUUCAUUAUAUAAAAUAAACCACACUAGUGGUAUUUGCCAAAAAAAAAAAAAAAAAAAAAACCUGGAUUUAAACCUUAAGGGUUCCGAACAACUAGUACUUUCUUUAACCUUAAAGACCCAUUUGCAAUCAACGAUUGAUUUGUUCUUAGGCCUAGUUACCAUCACCCAACUAUGCUUUUUUUUCUAGAGAACUCAUCUCUUCUUUCAUUGCCUUAAGUCACUCCUUAGAUUGAUCACUACUGAUGAAUGUAAUUCACUCAUUAAACUAAAACUUCUAAAUCACGUUUUUUGAUGCGUUCUUGGGCAUUUUUGAACGUUUUGAUGUGUCUGUUCGUGUUUUUUUGCAGUUUGGACAACUCUCGAGAAAAUACCACUAUUGGAAGCCUGUGAUGAGCAAAAAUGAUGAUCAAUGAAAUGGAGCAUGAAUAAGCAAGUAUUGAAUAAGAUUGGAGUGGAAAAUAGGCUUGGAAAAUAAAGUGAAGAGAAGCAAAGCAGUGGCAUUGGCAUUGACGCCACGACGCCAAAAAAGGGGCGCCAUGGCGCCCCAAAGCGAUGAAUUUCAAUAGAACCACUGGCGCCGUGGUGCCCAAUGAAGACCAACAAAAGCAGAAACUCUGGCGCUAGUUACCAUGAUAAUCGCGGUGACAUGGCGCCAUGCUUGGGCGCCGUGGCACCAAAUCUCGAAACGUUAAAACCUAAAUUUUUAAUUAUCUUUUCGGCCAAAAAAUCAUACCUUAACCCUUGAGGACUCUUAGAAAAUAUAAAUACCAAGAUGAAGAAGGAGAGAGGGGGGUUAGACGGCUGAAGAGGCAAGAGAAAGAGAAGCACCAAUUGAGAGAAGAUUAACCCAAUUUUGGAGAAGAAGAAGGCAAAAAACUGAGAAAUCAAGCAACAAGAUUGAGAAAUAGAGCAGCAACUAGAGUUUUUUUCUAUCUUUCUCUUAUACAUGCACUCUAGUUUGUAUUUCAUUGCAAUUUUAUUCUCCAUCAUGAACUAAACUUUUAAAUCUAGGGUUUGAUGUAACCUAUUUGAGACAUGAUUUAAUUUCCUUAUAGUAUUUUCAUUUAAUUUUCCAGAAUUGAUUUGUAUUAUUCUUGCUUAAUGCUUUCAGUUGCCUGAUCACCAAUUAAAUGAAUUGUUGCUCUAAAUUUGAUGCUUGAGAGAGGGAAAUUUAGGUUUGAUCUAAGAACAAUACAACUUAGAUUUGUAGGUUUCGAGAGAAAGUACAAAUCUUUGAGGGUAAAACAAGAACCAAGUGCGUGAUAAUCUUUAUAUAUUUAAUUCGAAAUAGAGAUAUUGGGGUUAAAAUAUAGAGAUAGGUUCUAUUUGACGCUCGAGAGGGGAAAAUAGAAUUAAUUUAGGAUUCUUGCCUAUGAAUUCGGGAUAUUGUUUAUGGAAAUAUCUAUAGGGAUUGAGAAUUAUGCCGAAAAUACGGUGAAAUCACUCCCUAGACAUUACGUAAUUUUGAUUUAAUCUUUAGAAAUUGCCUCACUUUUAUUACAUUAUUUAUUCAUUGACAUUAGUUUAGUAUUCAAACAUCAAUUCAACACCCGAUUGUCUAGAUAAAGUAAACGCGGACACAAUUAUAGUAUUCAGUAGAAGUCGAAUAUCAAUCCCUGUGGGUUCGACACUUUUCGAUUCUUUAAUAUACUACAAAACUUGACACCGUGCGCUUGUGGUAUAAAAUCACGUUACAUAAUUGCGUGACAACUACCUAUCGCCUCUUCAAAGGUUUUUGGCUCUUUAUCAGCUAGUUCUUCAUAACUAGCAUGGGCGAAAGCUAAUUCAGAUUCAAAACCGAACCUUCUAGGUUCUCUCGUCUGUCUCCUUUCUCUAUCCCUAGCUAGAUUAUAAUUAGUUAAGGGAUUUUCUUCCUCAGGGUGUUCUUCUAUUAUUACUUUGUUACCGUUUUCCACUUUAGGUUUCUGAACCUGAAUAUCCACCUCAUUAGUAGUAGGGGCAAGUGUACUAAGUUUUUCUAACUCCACCUUAAACCAAUCUCUCUCCUCUCCUGGUUCAGUUUCACUCACAAGUUCGGUUUUCCCUUUAAUACAUGGCAUCUCAUUCUCGUUAAAUGUGACAUCCCUACUCACAGUGAUCUUACUCCCCUUUUGACUUCUAUCCCAUAAUCUGUAUCCCUUAACACCCUCGGGAUACCCUAGAAAGACACACUUUCUAGCUCUAGGUUCUAGCUUUCCCUCGCUUUGAUGAGAAAAAGGCACAGCCAAAGGUUCUAAGCAUAGAAUAAUCACUCAGUUUACCCGACCAUAUCUCAUGCGGAGUGUCACCAUUCAAUGCAGCAGAUGGAGUCAAAUUAAUCAAAUAACAGGCAGUCAUAACAGCUUCACCCCAAAAAGAUUUGGGGACACCAGAACUUAACAUCAUGCAACACACUUUAUCAAGUAUGGUUCUAUUCAUCCUUUCAGAUACCUCGUUUUGUUGGGGAGUGUAAGGAACAGUUUUAUGUCUAGUUAUGCCAUUUUCUUUACACAUACUAUCAAAUUCUAUGUUGCAAAACUCUAGGCCGUUAUCUAUCCUUAAAAUUUUGAUUCUCUUGCCAGUUUGGUUUUCCACUUGUCUCUUCCAGUUAUUGAAGUUAUGAAAAGUCUCGAAUUUAUCUUUCAAUAGAUAGACCCACACUUUCAUAGUAUAGCCAUCGAUAAUAGAUAGGAAGUACAUAUUCCCACCCGAUGUGGGAUUACUACCAGGACCCCACAGAUCAGAAUGCACAUAUUCAAGCAUGCCUUUAGCUUUAUGAACACUCGUGGAGAAUGAAGUUUUAUGAUACUUACCAAGCACACAGUGAUCAAAAAAUGACAAAUCUAACACACUAUAUGCACCUUUUUCAUUAAGUAGCUUAAGUCCCUUAAUGCCUACGUGUGCAAGUCUAUUAUGCCAUAUGUGUGUGUGAUCAAUCUUGGCAGAAGAGAUAGAGGAGUUCAAACCUCUAAUCACUUUUCCAGUAGUGAUAUAGAUAUCGUUUUUCUUAGUUUCCUUAAUGGAAACUAAAGUACUCUUAAUCAUUUUUAGCAUACCAUUUCCAAUUUUACCAGUGAAGUCAUCCUUCUCAAAUCUCCCUACUGAAAUCAGAUUCCUAGACAAUUCAGGAAUAUAUCUUACAUCUUUUAACGUGUACACAAAAUCUGUGUCAAAUUUUACGUUUAUGUCACCAAUUCCAGCAAUAGUAUAGGCAAAGUUAUCACACAGUACAACAUGCCCAACAUUAGAUUCAUGCAAGUUAUAAAACCAAUUCUUUUCAGACGUUAUGUGGAACGAUGCACCAGAAUCAAGUAUCCACUCAUGCAUGCGGAAUUAGCAGUUAGAUUCAAUUCAACAAUGUAUGCAACUGGACUUGUAAGCAUAUAGACCUCACCGUUAUCUAUCUCAGAUGUAGAUGAUAACACAUUUACCUCAUCUCUCUACUUAAUCCUUAACUUGCCCUUUUCUUUAUGGCAAUCUUUUAUGAAAUGCCAUGUGUUUCCACAACCAUAGCAUUUUCUGGCCUUCAUCCUAGAUUUUGAUCAAAAUUUGGGCAAGACCCUUGCCUUUCUUUUUCCAUUCAUUGCCACUAGACUCAUCACCACUUUGAUAUCCAUCAUGACUAUUUUGCCUAAAUUGAGUUCUACCACCGCAUCAUAUGUAACUCACCACUCCUUUUAUUGUGUUUUUCAGCCAUGGUUUCCAUUUCUUUACUCCUAAGGGAGUUUAUGAUAAUUUCAGGUGUCAACGUAUCUCUGCCAUACUUAAUGGCAUUCUUAACUUCCUUAUAGAAAUUAGGAAUCGCAUUGAGCAAAAUUAUAGCCUUAUAAGUUUCAGACACAGCCUCAUCACAAUUAACUAUAUCUUGCACCAACUUGUUAAACACAUCUAAAUUGUCAUCGAGAUCCUUUGAAGGAUCCAUUUUAAAACUGAAAAAACAUUCAAGCAAGUAAAAUUCGUUCGAUGUAGACUUGAGCAAAUAUAAGUCUUCUAAUUUUUUUUAUAGUUCUUUGGUGGUUUUUAGUUUAUCCACAUUUCUUAAAACAACGUCAGAUAAGUGUAAAAUGAUUGAGGUAUAAGCAAACUCAUCGACUUUUUCUCUUUGUUCUUUUGAAAAAUCAGUUGAAAAAUUGUCUUCGAUGACCUUUGAAACCUUUUCUUGGACUAAAAUGCCCUUCAUUUUUUGUUGCCAAAUAAAAAAGUCACCCUUUCCAUUAAAAAUCCUCAAAUCAAAGUUGUGAGUUGUCAUCUUUACACAAUAGUCAAGGAGUGCACAAAACACAAUCAAACCGCACAAAGUAGUCAUAGGGUUUCAAAGAAUAUACGUCGUUCUAGAUUCCCAGGGUUUCGUAAGAUUUGUGGUCUUAGAUCAAGGGAAUGUUCGAAACGGGUAAAGUCAAGGUAAUUCUAACGGAAUUAAUAAGCAGCGGAAAUAACAAUGCAACAGAAAACUACGUCUAACAGAUAAUUAGUUUCACGGCAGUUAUAUCACUAAGACAAAUACUAAUUUAACUAAAAGACAAAUACUCAAUCAAAUAAUCAAAGGCACGUAACCCUAAUUUCUAGCACAAGUAAUAGUUGUCAAGCAAUGGCAACCCCCAAACCUAAUGAUCAUCCCACACAAUGAUCUGCUAGUGCAAAAAUAUAAAGGUUUCAGCCAAUUUACCAGAACGGACCUAUCUGAGUCGUAACGUGGAUAGAUGCAAAUUUGCUACUUUAGGGCCACCAUUAUUCGCCCUAAAAAUUCAGCAAAUAUAACAAUUUCGAUCAGCAACAAAUACAUAUUGAAGGCAGGGGCAAAAUCAUCCAAUUUUUUUGCACAACCUGAAACACUAAAUCAAACACAUCAAAACGUUCAGAAGAAUGAAAUAAACUAAAUAACAGAAAAAAUCACGUUACAGGGUUUUCCACGCGUCGUCGGCACCACCACGUGCCACCUCACAAGGGAUGCCUCGAUCUGCUGAUUAUAGGUCCGAAGUCCAUUUGUCCAAAAGAGAUUCGAUUUGGGAGUAAUUGAGGGAUUUAGGGUUCGAUCACUUUGAAAAAAUCCCGCCUCCCUCUCAAUUUUUGGACUAUUUUAACAGAAAUUAAAGCUCUAUGCUCUGAUACCAGAUGUAAGGGAGAGGAAUCAUCAACCACCAAGGCGAUAUACAUUCUCAGUUCACCAAGAAACCGAAUCAAUACCAAAGCAAACGAUCCAAGAGCACCACAAAGGUUUCACCUAUGGUUGCUAAGCUUUUUGCCACUUCAAGAACACCACAAAUGAGGGAAAUACCACUAAGAUAUAUGCCUUAAAGAGAAUGGCAAAAGAUGUAAGGGGUGAGGGCCGAGAGAGAUCCCGCAGGGAGGAGAAAGAGACACCAAGUCUUAUUUCUUGCAUAGUGGCGUGAAGAGUAGAGAGAAUAUAUUAGACCAAGUCUCAAAUUAUGGUAAGUUAGGUU